rnacentral:rRNA from 1 species
AUUGAACGCUGGCGGUAGGCCUAACACAUGCAAGUCGAACGCGAAAGUCCUUCGGGAUGAGUAGAGUGGCGGACGGGUGAGUAACGCGUAGGAAUCUAUCCUGUAGUGGGGGAUAACGUUUCGAAAGGAACGCUAAUACCGCAUACGCCCCAAGGGGGAAAGCGGGGGAUCUUCGGACCUCGUGCUAUAGGAGGAGCCUGCGUCGGAUUAGCUAGUUGGUGAGGUAAAGGCUCACCAAGGCGACGAUCCGUAGCUGGUCUGAGAGGAUGAGCAGCCACACCGGAACUGAGACACGGUCCGGACUCCUACGGGAGGCAGCAGUGGGGAAUAUUGCGCAAUGGGCGAAAGCCUGACGCAGCCACACCGCGUGUGUGAAGAAGGCCUUCGGGUUGUAAAGCACUUUCAGUGGGGAGGAAAAGCUGGUGGCUAAUAUCCAUCGGCCGUGACGCUACCCACAGAAGAAGCACCGGCUAAUUCCGUGCCAGCCGCCGCGGUAAUAC